CGUCGAAGGUGGGGCUGAUGACUGGGGUGAAGUCGUAACAAGGUAUCCGUACCGGAAGGUGCGGAUGGAUCACCUCCUAACAGGGAGACAACACAAUGAUUUUGAUGCCUGAGUGCUUUUAUUCUUAGGCCGAAAUCCUGUCACCUUAGGUCGAUCGGUACCUCAGCUUUGAAGUCAAGGAUCAGCAGCAAUGUUGAUUGCUUGAUGGAGAUUCUCAGUUCCUAAACUUUGUCUAGGUCACACCCCAAAAGGGAUGAGACUCCUGGGCCAUUAGCUCAGGUGGUUAGAGCGCACCCCUGAUAAGGGUGAGGUCCCUGGUUCAAGUCCAGGAUGGCCCAUUCGGUGUUGGGGGUUUAGCUCAGUUGGUAGAGCGCCUGCUUUGCAAGCAGGAUGUCAGGAGUUCGAGUCUCCUAACCUCCACUGACCGAACUUGAUUCCCAUCUCCAAUUCUUUUGGAGUUGAGCUCGAUUGGAGUGUGAUUUAGAUGUGUCCGCUGGAUGACCCCAGCUUCCUGUCAUUCCAAGUUUUAGGUUGAUGCCUUGAAUUUGGUUGAUAAGAUGCUGGGCUCGGAUCAAAUGGUCAAUCAAUUGAUGAUUUGAUUUGAAGUUCUAGCAGAACCUUGACAACUGCAUAGGUGAGUCUGGAAAAAACAAAGCAUCUUACAGAUGCAUUGUUUUGAAUCUGAUCUUCUGAAAGGGAGAUUGGAUCUAGAACAAUGAAAAUUCUUUUGAGCAAGAGCCGAGACUCUUGAGCGUUCUUUGACUGGUGUCGAGCCAAUCAGAGUUUGAUCUUGUUUUUAGCAAUAAAAACUUGAGAAUCUGCUUUCAACGGCGGUAAGCGUUCAGGAGGUUAAUUGGUCAAGCUACAAAGGGCUCACGGCG
rnacentral:misc_RNA from 1 species